GUUUUAUACACAGUCGAUCGCUCAACCACCACAAUCUAUCGCCCAUCUAUUAUUAUUAAUUAAAACAACGCAGCGCGUGGAGGUGGAGAAAAAUUUGUGAAAAGUGCAAAAACGCAGCGCGUGAAGCAAGUUGGCGACAUCGAUCGUGUAUAUUAUUAAUUAAAAUUCCGUCAAGCCGUGUGUUGUGCUCUGCCUCGGCUAAAUCAAAUCAGAAUCUACAUC